UGUUCUGUAGUUUAAAAAACACUAUGCUUUCAAAAUAGAAAAGUACUAAAUCCUAAAGUACCAGAACUU
rnacentral:tRNA from 1 species